GAUGAACGCUGGCGGCGUGCCUAAUACAUGCAAGUCGAGCGAACAGAUGAGGAGCUUGCUCCUCUGACGUUAGCGGCGGACGGGUGAGUAACACGUGGAUAACCUACCUAUAAGACUGGGAUAACUUCGGGAAACCGGAGCUAAUACCGGAUAAUCUAUUGAACCGCAUGGUUCAAUAGUGAAAGACGGUUUUGCUGUCACUUAUAGAUGGAUCCGCGCCGCAUUAGCUAGUUGGUAAGGUAACGGCUUACCAAGGCAACGAUGCGUAGCCGACGUGAGAGGGUGAUCGGCCACACUGGAACUGAGACAGGGUCCAGGCGCCUACGGGAGGCAGCAGUAGGGAAUCUUCCGCAAUGGGCGAAAGCCUGACGGAGCAACGCCGCGUGAGUGAUGAAGGUCUUCGGAUCGUAAAACUCUGUUAUUAGGGAAGAACAAAUGUGUAAGUAACUAUGCACGUCUUGACGGUACCUAAUCAGAAAGCCACGGCUAACUACGUG
rnacentral:rRNA from 1 species